UAGGGAAUCUUCGGCAAUGGACGAAAGUCUGACCGAGCAACGCCGCGUGAGUGAAGAAGGUUUUCGGAUCGUAAAACUCUGUUGUUAGAGAAGAACAAGGACGUUAGUAACUGAACGUCCCCUGACGGUAUCUAACCAGAAAGCCACGGCUAACUACGUGCCAGCAGCCGCGGUAAUACGUAGGUGGCAAGCGUUGUCCGGAUUUAUUGGGCGUAAAGCGAGCGCAGGCGGUUUCUUAAGUCUGAUGUGAAAGCCCCCGGCUCAACCGGGGAGGGUAAUUGGAAACGGGAGACUUGAGUGCAGAAGAGGAGAGUGGAAUUCCAUGUGUAGCGGUGAAAUGCGUAGAUAUAUGGAGGAAAACCAGUGGCGAAGGCGGCUCUCUGGUCUGUAACUGACGCUGAGGCUCGAAAGCGUGGGGAGCAAACAGG
rnacentral:rRNA from 1 species